UACAGAGGUCCCAAGCGUUGUUCGGAUUCACUGGGCGUAAAGGGUGCGUAGGUGGUUGGGCAAGUCUGAUGUGAAAUCUCCGGGCUUAACCCGGAAAUGGCAUUGGAAACUGCCUGGCUAGAGUGUUGGAGGGGGGACUGGAAUUCUCGGUGUAGCAGUGAAAUGCGUAGAUAUCGAGAGGAACACCAGUGGCGAAGGCGAGUCCCUGGACAACGACUGACACUGAGGCACGAAAGCUAGGGGAGCAAACAGG
rnacentral:rRNA from 1 species